rnacentral:lncRNA from 1 species
UGAAUCAUGGAAAGAUAUUGGAAUCUUCAGAUUGGUAGAAAUUAGCCAACACACUAUUACCUUCAAUAACAAUUUGUUUGGGAGUGGCUCUUAGGCUUUGGUCCUCGAAACUCAACUCUUUCAUCUUUCUAUUUGGAUCUGCUUUUAUUAUUUUAAGAGACAUCAUCAUUCUGACUGACCUCCCCAUCAUAGGUGAUGAAGCUAUUUUUCUAAUUGAUAUAAAAGAUAAAUCCUUACCCCCAGUUUCUGCUUAUUCAACCACCUAUACUUCAUAUCAUACAAUUGUUGAUAAGUGGUGCAAUUUGACUUCUCC